GACGAACGCUGGCGGCGUGCUUAACACAUGCAAGUCGAACGGAAAGGCCCUGCUUUUGUGGGGUGCUCGAGUGGCGAACGGGUGAGUAACACGUGAGUAACCUGCCCUUGACUUUGGGAUAACUUCAGGAAACUGGGGCUAAUACCGGAUAGGAGCUCCUGCUGCAUGGUGGGGGGUGGAAAGUUUCGGCGGUUGGGGAUGGACUCGCGGCUUAUCAGCUUGUUGGUGGGGUAGUGGCUUACCAAGGCUUUGACGGGUAGCCGGCCUGAGAGGGUGACCGGCCACAUUGGGACUGGGAUACGGCCAGGACUCCUACGGGAGGAAGCAGUGGGGAAUAUUGCACAAUGGGCGGAGGCCUGAUGCAGAAACGCCGCGUGCGGGAUAACGGCCUUCGGGUUGUAACCGGCUUUCGCCUGUGACGAAGCGUGAGUGACGGUAAUGGGUAAAGAAGCACCGGCUAACUACGUG
rnacentral:rRNA from 1 species